rnacentral:rRNA from 1 species
CAGCGGCGGACGGGUGAGUAACACGUGGGCAACCUGCCUGUAAGACUGGGAUAACUCCGGGAAACCGGGGCUAAUACCGGAUAACUCUUUUCCUCACAUGAGGAAAAGCUGAAAGAUGGUUUCGGCUAUCACUUACAGAUGGGCCCGCGGCGCAUUAGCUAGUUGGUGAGGUAACGGCUCACCAAGGCCACGAUGCGUAGCCGACCUGAGAGGGUGAUCGGCCACACUGGGACUGAGACACGGCCCAGACUCCUACGGGAGGCAGCAGUAGGGAAUCUUCCGCAAUGGACGAAAGUCUGACGGAGCAACGCCGCGUGAGUGAUGAAGGUUUUCGGAUCGUAAAACUCUGUUGUCAGGGAAGAACAAGUACCGGAGUAACUGCCGGUACCUUGACGGUACCUGACCAGAAAGCCACGGCUAACUACGUGCCAGCAGCCGCGGUAAUACGUAGGUGGCAAGCGUUGUCCGGAAUUAUUGGGCGUAAAGCGCGCGCAGGCGGUUCCUUAAGUCUGAUGUGAAAGCCCCCGGCUCAACCGGGGAGGGUCAUUGGAAACUGGGGAACUUGAGUGCAGAAGAGAAGAGUGGAAUUCCACGUGUAGCGGUGAAAUGCGUAGAGAUGUGGAGGAACACCAGUGGCGAAGGCGACUCUUUGGUCUGUAACUGACGCUGAGGCGCGAAAGCGUGGGGAGCAAACAGGAUUAGAUACCUGGUAGUCCACGCCGUAAACGAUGAGUGCU